rnacentral:piRNA from 1 species
UGAGUUGACCUGGGAGGGAUUGGGUCCAUU